UUAUAAAGAAGAGAUAUAUAAGCCUAAGAGCAACAUAUCCAUUGAUGGGUAAAAUCGUGCAGCACCCACAACACUAUGUAAGGAAGGACAGAGCAUUCAUAUACUGGAUAUAAAGUAACAAUGCACAUUAAAAAAGAAUGAAGUUGGCAAGCGGGAGGUUACAUCAUUUUAUGAUGUUCACAAUCAUGAGCUUAUUCAAAGCCUAUCUAAAACUCAUUUCCUUUGAUUAUAUAGAA
rnacentral:lncRNA from 1 species